rnacentral:lncRNA from 1 species
CAGCUCCUCGUCCCCAGCGCCCUGGCGACGCCCCUGCAGGACCCGCAGGCCCCGGGCCUCAGCCAGCGGCAGGUUCUGCUCCGGACUGGGCCCGCCGGGGCAGGCGGGGCAAGCAGCAGCCCGUGGGCCGCGUGCGCAGGGCUUCUGGCGAGAAGGUGGCCUUCCACUUCGCCUGGCUCGGACAGCAAGUGUGUGAGCCAUGCUGGGGAGCUGUGCCUGCCUUGUACACUGACUGGGGGACACAGAGGAGAGGCCACCCACGGUCACAGUGGACCCGAGCAGGGGACAGGGCAUUGGGCAGGUCGUGCAGCUGUGCAGACCUCUCCAGGGCUCAGCCCAGCCGUGGAGACCAGGCCCACCCAGACCACCCAGAGGCGACGCCAGUAUCCCCUGAGGGUUCUACGCAGGUUGGCUCCUGCCAGCGGCGGUGGUGGGCACACGGAUGUCCCUGGUGGGCUGCAUCAUGGUGUCCUCAGAUACACCCACGAGGCAGUGUCCCCACCGGCUGAGGCCGGCUGGCCCCCGGCCCGCAGUGCUCAGCGGAGCAGCUGGGCGGGAGACGCCGUGGGAGCUCCUCCUGUUCCUCCUGCUAUUAGGAAUGGCAGCCAGGAAGGUCAAGCGCAGGACCCCGAGCACACAGACCUUGCCGCCCUCAGGCACAGAGUCCUCAGGCUGCGGGUUUCCUCAGCCUUUACACUUCCAGGGUGGGUCAGCUCUUCCCUGAGCGCAGCUGCGAGGCCCGCACCCACACUCCUUGGGCCGGAGCUUCGGAGCCCAGGAUGGACCCACAGACAGACACGCCUUCAGCACCCUGCUGGGAACCUGUCUCUGCCAGUGUCCUAGGUCUGCCCUAACAAAUGACCACAAAUGGGCGUUAAAACAACAAGCUGCAAAAAAAAAAAAAAAACAAGCUGCUUUUCUCACAGUUCUGCAGGCAGGAUCCAGUACUGCCGGUGUGGCAGCUGGUUCCUUCUGGAGAAGGUGCGGGGCGCCCGCCCCAUGUCCAGUGGCUCUGGGGCUCUGACGCCGCUGGCUUGUGGCCGCGCCGCUCCCAUCUCCCCCGUCUUCACGUGGCCUCUCCCUCUGUGCAGGCCACGUCUGUCUCUCCUCCUCCUACAAGGGCUUGUCGCUGGUGCUCUCAUCGGGGGCUCCUUAUCCUAAUCACACAUGCAAAGGCCUUUCUUCCAAGGAAGGCUGUAUUCUGAUGGCCUUCCCAUCAGAACGUGUGUACAGGAGGAUAUGUCUUCUCAGGAGCACAGUUCAAGCCACUACAGUCCAUCCUCUGGCCCCCAUGAGCAAAACACAGUCACCCCCAACCCCGUGCCCCAAAGUGUCACCCACUGCAGCGUCAACCCGAGUCCCCCCAACCCAGUGCCGCAAAGUGUCACCCACUGCAGCGUCAACCCAAGUCCCCAGGCUCAUCUCAUCCUGAGUCGGGGGUGGGGGAGGUUCUGCGGCAACACCGCUGCC